UAAAUUAUUUUUAAGUCGCCCUCGAUUUCUCAAGGUUUCCAUCAUCAGAUCCUGACCUGAUGGUAAUGGGACCACCUCGGAAGUAUACGCUAUCAAACAAAAAAAAGAAUCAUCAAAACAGUGACUGCUAUUGAAGGAGAUAUUGCCUUAAAGAUCCCGUGUGACGUCGCCGAUGUUCCUCGUCCAGUUAUAACGUGGCUUCACAAGGGCGUUAAGAUCACACCUAAUUCAAAGUACGCCGUUGAGGAUGGAAAUCUUGUUAUCAAGAAUCCUACUAAAACGGACAAAGGAAGCUAUACGUGUGAAGCCAAAAACUAUAUUGGGUCAGUUAGUGCCACAUUUGAGGUCAAUGUUGAUGAGGGACUCGUUGAUUUUGGCACGAAGCAUAACGUAUAUUUGCUUUUGGGUGAAACAAAAAAAUUGGAAUGUGGUGCUUAUAAAUCGAAAUCCCAGUCGAUAAAAUGGUUUAAAACGCACAGACAAGAUGGCGACGGUGAUAGAAGUUUUGCAUCGAAUGAUCCGAUUCGUUAAGGUCAGCUUCCAGUCGUGCAGUCUAACCGUUGCAGCUGAGUACGAGUGUUUUACAAAGAGCGACUGCCUAUCUGAAUACAAUAGCCCUAAAAAUCCAUUUCAACCAAAAACCGUCAACCAAUGUCUAAGGAUUGUCUUGUAAUCAUCAGUAUAAAUAAUAUUGAUGUAUAUGAUUCAGUAAAAAAAACUAGUAAAGGUGCGAGCAUAUCGUGUGGUCUUUCGUGUCUACGAUACAGGGUUAGUAGACAGAGGUCUUAAAUGAGUAGGUACAAUAAAAUGAAACAAGUUGUUUGGAAAUCAGAAGGCUAUUUCCAUUUUUAUUUUCU